rnacentral:pre_miRNA from 1 species
GUAGUACUCCCUCCGUUCGGAAUUACUUGUCACAAAAAUGGAUGUAUCUACAACUAAAAUACAUCUAGAUACAUUCAUUUCUUGGACGAGUAAUUCCAAACGGAGGGAGUAUGUA